rnacentral:rRNA from 1 species
UACGUAGGUGACAAGCGUUGUCCGGAUUUACUGGGCGUAAAGAGCGCGCAGGCGGUCGUUCAAGUCGCGUGUGAAAGCCCCCGGCUCAACUGGGGAGGGUCACGCGAUACUGAUCGACUGGAAGGCAGGAGAGGGUAGUGGAAUUCCUGGUGUAGCGGUGAAAUGCGCAGAUAUCAGGAGGAACACCGGUGGCGAAGGCGGGACUCUGGGCCGAUACUGACACUGAGAGACGAAAGCUAGGGGGAGCGAAUGGG